ACACUACUCCCUCCAUUCGAAAUUACUUGUCUCGAAAAUGGAUGUAUGUAGAACUAAAAUACGUCUAGAUAUAUCCAUUUCUGCGACAAGUAAUUCCGAACGGAGGGAGUACAUG
rnacentral:pre_miRNA from 1 species